GUCUAUUCAUAGGUCAUAACGUAUUCUAACUCCCUCUACCAGUCUAUUCAUAGGUCAUAAUGUAUUCUAACUCCCUCUACCAGUCUAUUCAUAGGUCAUAAUGUAUUCUAACUCCCUCUACCAGUCUAUUCAUAGGUCAUAACGUAUUCUAACUCCCUCUCUUUCUAUUCAUAGGUCAUAAAGUAUUCUAACUCCCUCUACCAGUCUAUUCAUAGGUCAUAAUGUAUUCUAACUCCCUCUCUGUCUAUUCAUAGGUCAUAACGUAUUCUAACUCCCUAUCUGUCUAUUCAUAGGUCAUAAUGUAUUCUAACUCCCUCUACCAGUCUAUUCAUAGGUCAUAAUGUAUUCUAACUCCCUCUACCAGUCUAUUCAUAGGUCAUAACGUAUUCUAACUCCCUCUACCAGUCUAUUCAUAGGUCAUAACGUAUUCUAACUCCCUCUACCAGUCUAUUCAUAUGUCAUAAUGUAUUCUAAAUCCCUCUACCAGUCUAUUCAUAGGUCAUAAUGUAUUCU
rnacentral:lncRNA from 1 species